rnacentral:rRNA from 1 species
AGAGUUUGAUCCUGGCUCAGAUUAAACGCUGGCGGCAUGCCUUACACAUGCAAGUCGAACGGCAGCGGGCCUUCGGGUGCCGGCGAGUGGCGAACGGGUGAGUAAUGCAUCGGAACGUGCCAUUGAGUGGGGGAUAACGUAGCGAAAGUUGCGCUAAUACCGCAUAUUCUGUGAGCAGGAAAGCAGGGGACCGCAAGGCCUUGCGCUCUUUGAGCGGCCGAUGUCAGAUUAGCUAGUUGGUGAGGUAAAGGCUCACCUAGGCGACGAUCCGUAGCUGGUCUGAGAGGACGACCAGCCACACUGGAACUGAGACACGGUCCAGACUCCUACGGGAGGCAGCAGUGGGGAAUUUUUGGACAAUGGGCGCAAGCCUGAUCCAGCCAUGCCGCGUGAGUGAAGAAGGCCUUCGGGUUGUAAAGCUCUUUCAGCCGGAAAGAAAACGCACGGGUUAAUAACCUGUGUGGAUGACGGUACCGGAAGAAGAAGCACCGGCUAACUACGUG